GCUUGGAUGGCUCAGUUGGUUAGAGCGCAGGUCUCAUAUUUCAAAUAUGACCGCCUUCUGGGUGGGUAAUCCUGAGGUCGUGAGUUCGAUCCUCACUCCGAGCA